ACGGCCAUAUCAUGUUGAAACACCGGUUCCCCUACGAUCACCCUAAGUUAAGCAACGUCGAGCCUGAUAACUACCUAGAUGGGUGACCGCUAGGGAAAACCAGGUACUGUAAG